rnacentral:rRNA from 1 species
GGCAUGCUUAACACAUGCAAGUCGAACGAGACCUUCGGGUCUAGUGGCGCACGGGUGCGUAACGCGUGGGAAUCUGCCCUUUGCUACGGAAUAACUCAGAGAAAUUUGUGCUAAUACCGUAUAAUGUCGUAAGACCAAAGAUUUAUCGGCAAAGGAUGAGCCCGCGUAAGAUUAGCUUGUUGGUGGGGUAAAGGCCUACCAAGGCGACGAUCUUUAGCUGGUCUGAGAGGAUGAUCAGCCACACUGGGACUGAGACACGGCCCAGACUCCUACGGGAGGCAGCAGUGGGGAAUAUUGGACAAUGGGCGAAAGCCUGAUCCAGCAAUGCCGCGUGAGUGAUGAAGGCCUUAGGGUUGUAAAGCUCUUUUACCAGGGAUGAUAAUGACAGUACCUGGAGAAUAACCUCCGGCUAACUCCGUGCCAGCAGCCGCGGUAAUACGGAGGGAGCUAGCGUUGUUCGCAAUUACUGGGCGUAAAGCGUGCGUUGGCGGCUAUUCAAGUCAGAGUGAAAGCCCUGGAGCUCAACUCCAAAACUGCCUU